rnacentral:rRNA from 1 species
UAGAUACCCCACUAUGCUCAGCCCUAAAUCCUGACACCCUCCCCUAUUAAGGUGUCCGCCUGAGAACUACGAGCACAAACGCUUAAAACUCUAAGGACUUGGCGGUGCCCUAAACCCACCUAGAGGAGCCUGUUCUGUAAUCGAUACUCCACGAUACACCCGACCGCCCUUUGCCCCACCCAGCCUAUAUACCGCCGUCGCCAGUCCACCUAUUCUGAGAGAGCAACAGUGAACUUAAUAGCCCUAACCAUGCUAACAAGACAGGUCAAGGUAUAGCCAAUAGGGCGGAAGAAAUGGGCUACAUUUUCUAGCCUAGAAGACCACGAAAGGGGGGAUGAAACUCCCCCCGGAAGGCGGAUUUAGCAGUAAAGCAGGACUACAACGCCACCUUAAAGCUGGCCCUGGGGCACGUACAUACCGCCCGUCACCCUCCUCACAAGCUAUACAUAUAAGUAAUUAACACUAAUUUCUAGCCAAAGAUGAGGU